AGUCGCGCAUUCGUGUCGCAACAGCGGCAGAAUGCAGUAAGCUUUGCGGCAGUUCCUCGACGAUUACCUUCAAGUGGUAAGAAAAUAUGGAAGGCAAUCGUCGCGGUGAGAAACAUUGCAUUGUGAUAGAUUUCAACGCAGCAGCAGAAAAUGUCAAUCGUGCUUUGUAGAAGGAAACUUAGUCGGGAAAGAGCAAAGUUAAUCAGCGGCAUGGCGAGUGCGAUAUUACAACGGCAACGAUCACUGUGGCGGCAUUGUCAAAGAAUUGCAUAGUAAU